UCCCUGGUGGUCCAAUGGUUAAGACUCUGCACUCCCAAUGCAGGGAUCAUGGGUUCAAUCCCUGGUCAGGGAG